GCUGGUGUAAAUGAUGACUCACUUUUUUCCCCAUCAUAUCGACAAUGCUGAUCUUUUAGAAUAUUUGCCAGUUAACUCCUGAUACGCCAGC
ensembl:snoRNA SNORD12C small nucleolar SNORD12/SNORD106